UGUGCCUUGGAGCAAGUAUCUCCA
rnacentral:siRNA from 1 species